UGGCGUCAGGAGUGAACGCUGGCGGCGUGCCUAACACAUGCAAGUCGAACGAAGCUUAUCUUUUGGAGGACUUCGGUCCAAAGAAAGAUAAGACUGAGUGGCGGACGGGUGAGUAACGCGUGGGUAACCUGCCUCAUACAGGGGGAUAACACUCAGAAAUGGGUGCUAAUACCCCAUAAGCGCACACGACCACAUGGUCGAGUGUGAAAAACUCCGGUGGUAUGAGAGGGACCCGCGUCUGAUUAGAUAGUUGGCAGGGUAACGGCCUACCAAGUCUACGAUCAGUAGCCGGCCUGAGAGGGUGAACGGCCACAUUGGGACUGAGACACGGCCCAAACUCCUACGGGAGGCAGCAGUGGGGAAUCUUGCACAAUGGACGAAAGCCUGAAUGCAGCGACGCCGCGUGAAGGAAGAAGUAUUUCGGUAUGUAAACUUCUAUCAGCAGGGAAGAAAAUGACGGUACCUGACUAAGAAGCCCCGGCUAACUACGUGCCAGCCGCUGC
rnacentral:rRNA from 1 species